rnacentral:misc_RNA from 1 species
GUGAAUCAUCAAAUCUUUGAACGCAAAUUGCACUCUCUGGUAUUCCGGAGAGUAUGCCUGUUUGAGGGUAAGAUUAAAUAAAAAUCGGUGUGGUUGCUGCCUUUCGUGGUGACGCACCGGAUUUGGGUCGUCUUGCCUUUGGUUAAGUGAUCUAAAAUUUUGCAUGAUUUUUUUGAACGUAUUUAAAUGUCUUUUCGUACGUUUGCGAUAUCGAAUACUAGGUGUGGUCAUGCCCAU